UGCUCCUCAGUAUGAGAGAGAUUCUGAGAGCAGGUUCGUGUCUCCUUCCUCUGUAUAUAAACACUGUACUGUAUACCAUGUGUUUUUGGAAAACUGGUUCAUAUAUCCUUAAGUCAAUAGCGAAUAUGGCUAUGAAUAUAUUUAAUUAGCCGUUAAUGUAUUGAAGACCUAUUUCAGCAAGUUUCAACCAAGUGUUUGCUGGCUUAGCUAGCCAUGUUAACGAUGAGCUAACACCGUUGGUCACUGCACUACAAUGUCACGCUAGCUAUUGCCAGCAGGUGAUUUGCUAGCAGGUGACUUGCAAUAUUAAGUGAAUGUUUAUUUUCUUACUACCUUUAAAAGGUUUAUAUAAAAGGGUUGUACUUGUGCUCUGUAUUUAUGGAUUAAUAUCACUUCACAUUGAGGGUAUGUAUCACUACAUUUGCUCCUAUCUAAAAUAUAUCUUGUGGGCUACCUAACCAGGUCACAUGUGGCUGUGACCGUCCUGUCAAUGCCUGUCAUCACUGUUUGACAUCUUUUACUGCAGCACAGGGGCCUGUAGCACAGUCCGGUCAAACAGGAAGGGGAUGCCGGCAUUCGGCUGCAGGAAGAUAAAGAGAGGGGAGGUGGAGUUCAAGGAGAACGGUCAACAGCUGGCAGUAAAGUGGCAUGACAAACGAGACGUCCAUGUCCUCUCCACUGUCCAUACAGCAACCAUGUCGGCCACAGGGAAGGUGGACCAACUGACGGGAGAGAGAAAAAUCAAACCAGACUAACUAACAGAUAAAGUAAUUACCUACCAAAAGUACAGAGAGAACCUUAUGAGGGAGCUGCUGGAGGAGCACCACCCCCAUCAGCGCCCAUCCACUGGGGGUCGUCCUGCUGCGGACAAUCCCCUAAACCUCACUGCACGGCAUUUUCCCUGCAAAGUCCCUCAAACUGCUGCUCAAGGUAGUCUCACACAGAGGCACUGCAAAGUUUGUCUGUCUGGCACCAGGAGAAGAAAGCAGAGGAAGUUGUCAAUAUACAUGCGUUUAGCUUGUGAUACACCUCUAUGUAUUUCACCAUGCUUUGGGGAGUAUCAUAUGCUCAAGCAAUAUUGAGCACAUCUGCAGCAAUUAGUGACUGACUGACAGACCUGACAAGUAACUUUCCUUCCAUGAUACUAGUUGUUGUUCAAUCACUGCAUGAAUAUUAAAUACGGGUUAUGCAUAUUCAGUUUUUUUUCCUCUAGUAAAACUUGUUCAACCAACCACCACCAUUACUGCAAUAAAAUUGACGACUAACA